rnacentral:tRNA from 1 species
GGUUAUGGCUUAGUGGUAGGGCGCUUGCCUAACUUGCAUGAGGCACUGGUUUCAAUCCCCGGAACCA